CCCAGUUCCCCCUCUCCUCUCCCCUCGCUCCCUUUUCUCGAUCUGGACCGGCGCCCGAGCGCUGCCAUGGCUGCGUCGCCAACAUUCGCGUAGCCGCCGGCCUCCUCUCGCCUUGCCUCGAGUCCACGAGCUCCGCCCGCCUCCGAUACGUCUUCCUCGACAACGAUCCCGAGCCGGGGAGCACUGCAUCGAGCCCCACGACGCCUUUCCUCCUCCUCGGGUCGCCAGCGAACUCCGUCGAUUUCGGCCACUCUGCUGCUACUAACCUGUCGCCGGCCUUCAUGAGCCGCCCGGUGAGCUCCUGCUCCCUCCCCUCCCUUGCGUCGUCUUCAGUCGCCCGUAGCUGUAGACACCGUCGCCCCAACCGCCCGCGUCGUCCGUCCCGCUGCAUCGGCCGCACCUCGUACAGGCCCCGCGCGCGCCCAGGCGCAAGUGCUCGCCGCCCCGCACUGCGCUCCUCCUCGCCCCGCGCUGCAGUUAUUGCUGGUGUCUCUAAUGCCCCGCUCGCCGGCACGCCCGGCCGAGCCGCUGCCGCCUACCUGCACGCACGCGCGCGCGCCCCACACCCAGCCGCACAGCCCGCAUCGCCACUGCCUGCCUGCUGCUUGCUCUCUCUCGCUCGCCGACCGCUUGCUGCUACGCGCUGCUACUGCGGUGCCUCGCGCGCGAGCAGUCGCGUCCGACGCAGCUCCGGGCCUCCCGCGGUGGCCUGCUGCCGCUGCUGCCUCCGGCGGCCGCUCGCUGCCUUGCACACCCGCGCACACACCUAGCCGUGCCGGCCCUGCUUGCCGUCCCGCGCGCGCCCCUGCGCCUGCCUGAGCUGCUUCUGCUGAAGCUCUUGCCCUGCUGCUACGCUAAUACUGCUGCUGCUUACUGUACUGCUAGCUAGCUUUUCAAUUUUUACAUUGACUAACCUCCUAGACAGACCCUAAUCUGUGAUUAAACAACUGGUAAAAUGACUGAAUAAAAUAUGAGUAGGUAGUAUACUUGACAAACUCCAUUUUAUCCCAUUGGACCAAAUCCCUUCAAUGCCUAGAUUAAAUCAUAUAAAAAUCACAAAAUGCGUGUGUGUCCGUGUGUGUCCGUGUGUGUUCAGAUAACAGAAUUAACUCCUAGCUAUGUGCGUGUGUGUCCGUGUGUUGUGUGUGCCUUGUACAGCAUGGUGUGUGCGCGCCGUGCGUGUGGCCGGCUGGGCUAUGCCCAGUAAUGGCCGGCCCUUACUUAGAUUAGCACUUCUAGUAGGUCUUAAUUAGUGCUAAGUUAGUCUAGUAGUAGAUGACAUGUAGGCCCUCAUUAAAUAAAUUGGAUUUAUUUAAUUGGUUAGAUAAAUAGUCUAUGACAUGUGGGCCACACAUGCCCUUUUGACUAGUCAAAUUGACUGGGUCAAUCCGGAUUAAACUAAAUAUAAUAAAUCCAGAAAUUUCAGGAAAUACUUAAAACUGUGGAAAAUCAUAGAAAAUUAACUGUAACUCCGAUGAAAAAACUUUGUACAUGAAAGUUGCUCAGAACGACGAGACGAGUCCGAAUACGCAGCCCGUUCGUCCGCCACGCAUCCCUAGCAUAGCGAACACGUAAUUUUUCCCCUUCGAUUCAUUUGUCCGAAAACGCGAAACACCGGGGAUAUUUUCCCAGAUGUUUCCCCCUUCACCGUAUCAUCUCAUACCGCGUUAGGUCACCUCUAGCACCCCGUAUUGUCUUGUUAUGCUUUGUGAUACUUUGAUUGCUCUAUUAUUUAUUGUAUUCCCCCUCCGUUACUCUUUUUCGGUAGACCCCGAGACUGUCGGCGACCCUAGUUCGACUAUGGUGUUGGCGACCCCUCUCUCUUGCCAGAGCAACCAGGCAAGCCCCCCUUUGAUCACCAGAUAUCGCCUAUUCUUCUCUCUACUGCUUGCAUUAGAGUACCUGUCCUUGCUACUAUUGUUGUUACCUUUACCUGCAAUCCUAAUGCUUAGUAUAGGAUGCUAGUUUAUCAUUAGUGGCCCUACAUUCUUGUCCGUCUGCCAUGCUAUACUACCGGGCCGUGAUCACUCGGGAGGUGGUCAUGGGUAUAUACUUAUAUGCAUAAUAUAUGAUACUUGUGGUGACUAAAGACGGGUCGGCUCGUAGGAGUACCCGCGAGUGAUCCACGGAUUGGGUCCGAAAGGACGUUUGUCCCGACGGCCCUUUGAGUGGAUCUUUGUGGCGAAGCGACAGGGCAGGUUGAGACCACCUAGGAGAGAGGUGGGCCUGGCCCUGGUCGGCGUUCGCGGUUAUUUCAAAAUAACACGUUUAACGAGAUCUUGGUAUUUGAUCUGAGUCUGGCUACUGGCCUAUACGCACUAACCAUCUACGCGGGGACAGUUAUGGGCACUCGACGUCGUGGUAUCAGCCGAAGCCUUCGUGACGUCAGCAACUGAGCGGCGUGCGCCGGAUUGGACUGGAACGCCUGCUAGGCUAGGUCUACUUCUAGCCUCCCACGCAACAUGCAGGUGUGCUAAGGGCGAUGGGCCCAGACCCCUGGGCGCUUAGGUUUAGACCGGUGUGCUGACCUCUCUGUUGGUCUAGGUGGGGCUGCGACGUGUUGAUCUUUCGAGGCCGGGCAUGACCCAGGAAAGUGUGUCCGGCCAAAUGGGAUCGAGCGUGUUGGGUUAUGUGGUGCACCCCUGCAGGGAAGUUAAUAUAUUCGGAUAGCCGUGAUCUUCGGUAACAGGACGACUUGGAGUUGUACCUUGACCUUAUGACAACUAGAACCGGAUACUUAAUAAAACACACCCUUCCAAGUGCCAGAUACAACCGGUGAUCGCUCUGUCACAGGGCGACGAGGGGAGGAUCAUCGGUUAGGAUUAUGCUAUGCGAUGUUACAUGGUGAACUUACCAUCUACUCUCUUCUCCUGCUGCAAGACGGAGGUUACCAGAAGCGUAGUCUUCGAAAGGACUAGCUAUCCCCCUCUUAUUCCGGCAUUCUGCAGUUCAGUCCACAUAUGAUAGCCUUAUUCCCGUUGAUACCAAUGCACACAUAUGUAGUGUAGCUCCUUUCUUGCGAGUACUUUGGAUGAGUACUCACGGUUGCUUUUCUUCCCCUUUUCCCCUUCCCUAUAUCCGAUUGCUGCAACCAGACGAUGGAGUCCAGGAGCCAGACGCCACCGUCGAUGACGACUACUACUACUCGGGAGGUGCCUACUACUACGUGCAGCCGCUGACGGCGACCAGGAGUAGUUAGGAGGAUCCCAGGCAGGAGGCAUGCGCCUCUUUCGAUCUGUAUCCUUGUUUGUGCUAGCCUUCUUAAGGCAAACUUAUUUAACUUAUGUCUGUACUCAGAUAUUGUUGCUUCCGCUGACUCGUCUAUGAUCGAGCUCUUGUAUUCGAGCCCUCGAGGCCCCUGACUUGUAAUAUGAUGCUUGUAUGACUUAUUUUAUUUGUAGAGUUGUGUUGUUAUAUCUUCCCGUGAGUCCCUAAUCUUGAUCGUACACAUUUGCGUGUAUGAUUAGUGUAUGAUUGAAUCGGGGGCGUCACAGCUAGCCUAGGAGCGGCGUCAUGGAUGGUGUCUGGCGAGUGAUCCAGCCAGCAAGUGAUCCGCUCAGACUUGAAUUUCAUUUUGACUUUUCUGGAUCAUUGAACUAUGAUUUAUUUUGUUUUGCC
rnacentral:lncRNA from 1 species